AUUGAACGCUGGCGGCAGGCUUAACACAUGCAAGUCGAGCGGGGAAGGGUAGCUUGCUACCUAACCUAGCGGCGGACGGGUGAGUAAUGCUUAGGAAUCUGCCAUUUAGUGGGGGACAACAUUCCGAAAGGAAUGCUAAUACCGCAUACGUCCUACGGGAGAAAGCAGGGGAUCUUCGGACCUUGCGCUAAAUGAUGAGCCUAAGUCGGAUUAGCUAGUUGGUGGGGUAAAGGCCUACCAAGGCGACGAUCUGUAGCGGGUCUGAGAGGAUGAUCCGCCGCACUGGGACUGGGACACGGCCCAUACUCCCACGGGAGGCAGCAGUGGGGAAUAUUGGACAAUGGGCGGAAGCCUGAUCCAGCCAUGCCGCGUGUGUGAAGAAGGCCUUAUGGUUGUAAGGCACUUUAAGCGAGGAGGAGGCUACUUAGAUUAAUACUCUAGGAUAGUGGACGUUACUCGCAGAAUAAGCACCGGCUAACUCUGUGCCAGCCGCCGCGGUAA
rnacentral:rRNA from 1 species